CCAAGUGAAUGCAUAUAGGUUUUUUUCAAGAAAAGGAAGGAGGAAAUUUGAAUUCUGAGACUCUCUAUAUAUAAUGAUACAAGGUGCAAGAUCAUUCCCGUUGAAGACAUGAAAAAAUUCUCCAAAAGGAUAAAUUAAGCAAAGGGCAAAGCAGUAAGAAGGAAUACACAUCAGCAAAGCGCACUUCUUUCUAUUAGCAAAUUAAAAUCUAACCUGCAAGCACACAAAAUGCACAAUUUUUCAUACUGCUUUAAGAGCAGCAAAAGGGGAUCAGGUUAAAAGUGAUAUGCUGCAGAAUAGCAAGGUACUAACUUGCUUGAACUGAUGACAUUACCAACCAAAUAUGAAAUAUCAUUCCAGUNNNNNNUAUUAAAUUGCAUAUGAUAUUUAUAUUAUCUUUAAGUAUCAAAUGACAUCCACCAAUAUUGUGGUGAUAUAUAUGAGAGCAUAAGACCCAUUUUGGAAGAU
rnacentral:misc_RNA from 1 species